rnacentral:lncRNA from 1 species
UUCCCGACGCCUUCGAGAACUUAACGUCGCCCUGCCUCGAUGAACAUCCAUGGGCGGAUUUUCCGUUCACCGGAUUUGCUGCCAUGGUUGCUGCUAUCGGGACUCUGAUGAUUGAUGCUUUUGCAACUUCUUAUGCGACCUCUUAUUAUCGCAAGUCUCACUUUGGUGAAGCGGAGGAUAACGUAUCAGAUGAAGAGAAAGUUGGGGAGCAUGCAGGUCACGUGCAUGUUCAUACUCAUGCAACUCAUGGCCAUGCUCAUGGAUCUAUUGAAUAUGCUGGUGAAUCGGAGCUUCUACGACACCGUGUCAUAUCCCUGGUUAUAAUUUAUUUAUUUAUUUUUAAAUUUUCAUGCAUAUAUAAAAUGAUGGUGAAUUUUUAAUUAUAUUGGUAAAUUAAUUAAUUAAUUUUUUAAAAAAUUUCAUUUUGGGUUAUUUUUUUCGUUAGGUUUUGGAGUUGGGAAUUCUUGUGCACUCGGUAAUCAUUGGAAUUUCAUUGGGUACUUCUGAGAGUCCAAAAACUAUUAAGCCUUUGGUUGCAGCGUUGACUUUUCAUCAAUUCUUUGAAGGAAUGGGUCUUGGUGGUUGCAUUACGCAGGUAAUUGAUAUUUUCUAUUUAUGAUUAAAUAAAGUUUGACCAAUUUGACAGUUGUCCAUUCUUUUAAUUAUUAUUCUUACUUUGUAAGUUUUAAUUAAGAUGCUUGAUACAUGGUGCUAACUAGCCAUAAGAAUCAAUUAUCAAAUCACUUUUAUUUUGGAAAACUCUUUUUUUUUUUUGGUUAGAAAAAGGAAAAAACUUAUUUGAAGUUUUAAAAUUCUCUGUUUUUUUUUUUUACGCUGUUGACUAUAUGUGUGUACACAUAUGUAAUACUAAAGUCUUUUUGUGACAAUAUCCACCUAUGUACAAUCAAGUGGGCAAUAUGGCUCCAAAUUUCAUUAGUAAUUGAUGUUAACAAUUUUGUUUUAACGUGUUCGUUUUUAUAGGCAAAAUUCAAGUCUCGAGGAGUCGCAAUAUUGGCCUUGUUCUUCUCUUUGACAACCCCAGCUGGGAUAGCAAUAGGCAUUGGAAUAUCAAGUUUUUAUGACGAAAAUGACCCCACUGCUCUUAUUGUUGAAGGGAUAUUCAACGCAGCAGCAGCUGGAAUCCUAAUAUACAUGUCCUUGGUUGAUCUUCUUGCUGCAGAUUUUAUGAAUCCGAAGAUGCAAGACAAUAAAAGGCUUCAAUUUGGAGCACAUGUUUCUCUUCUUUUAGGAGCUGGUUGCAUGUCCUUGUUAGCCAAAUGGGCUUAAAAAUCAUAGAGAUUUUUUCGGCAAUUUUUGUUUAUCCAAUAGUUUAAUUUGCGGCAGUUUUUGUACAGACAUUUUGAUGGAUGUUUACUAUCUGUAAAAUAACUUAAAUUGAUUAGGGUUAAGUGUAGCGUUUUAAAAUUUAAAGAGGGUAAGUGUCAUAACUCAUUUGAUUUUGGGUGUGAAUCUUUGUAACUUAAACUUGAAGGGAUUUGUAAUUUUUCCUUGUACAUAUUUUAUUUCUUUUGAUUAAAGAUCAUUACUCGUCGGUGAGCUUUAAAUAAUAAAUUCCACAAAGCCCCUGCCAAAAAGGGGUAAAAAAUAAAAGGAAAGAAAAGAAAAGGUAUGAACUAAUUUGAAAAGAAGAUGAUAAAGAUCAUGGUGAUGAUAUUGACUCAAUUGAGGAAGAAAACUCAAACUCGUAGUGUUUAUCGAUGGCCAUUGAUACAUCAAUAUUACACAUCAAUGUAUGUAUAUACAUACGCACAUCAAUAUUGCUAUGUUUGCAAGUUUGUAAUAAAAAAUAACUUUGGUAUUCAACCCAAUGUGUCGUUAUAAGAAAAUGACACAUGUCAAAUGAUUACUUAUAUUUUCACUUUCACUUGAUAGUUUGUAUGAACACUUUGUAUAUGCCGUGUUAAUAUCAAAUAUGUCAUAUCAGUUGGGUAUAAUCAGUGGCGGACCCAGAAACUAAAAUGAGGGGGGGCUUAGUUUAAAAAUUUUUAUUUAACUUAAAUUUUUUUAAUGUUCACUCGAAUACAUUUUAAGUCUUAUAAACUCAAAUUUUAUUACUUUUUUUUUAAAUUCUAAAUAAUAAUAGUAAUAAAUUAUUAUUUUUAAAUGCGUGAAAAUAUUAUUUUUCGAAGUAGUUUCUACAAAAUAUUUAAAAAAAUAAAAUAAUGUGGCUAAUGGGAUUUGAACCAAGGUUUUAGAAUCAUUAAAUAACACUCUUACCAUUGAACCACAAGUCUUUUAAUAUAUGAAAAAUGUGUCCAAAUUAUUUUAUCUAACUUUUUCAGAAGGGACUUGGGGUACAUUUAAAAGAAAACUUAAUGGUCCAGGGGGGGUUGAAGCCCCUCCUGGACCUUAAUUGGGUCCGCCCAUGGGUAGAACCAUAUAAAAUUUAUAUUCUAACUAUAUGUAAUUAUAGACUUAAGUGAAAAAUAUAGAUUUAGUUGGUCUUUUAGUGAAAAUAAGGGUAUUACAAACAUUGUCCUUCAUAUGGCAAGCUAGAACAAUAUAUGAAUGGGUCGACGAGGUUAAGUCAAGAGAAACCUAAAAACGCAAGCUGGUUGAAGCCAGCCACUUGCUACUUGCUAUUGCCAAAAGAGAGGAAAAACGACAUCGUAAUCCACUAGGUACGGACUACUAAUUAAUUAGCUGAGUUGUCUCCUUUUACUUCCAAAAACGUCCAAACUCAUCUUGUAAAACUUUCAAGAUUCUGAAUUUUGAUUCCUUAAUUUUACUUAAGAAUUUGGUCUUUAUCUAAGUUUUAAAUAAAGUGUUUUAAUAAGUUAUAAAAAAUAAUUACCAUUUCUCAUAAUUUCAGGGGCAUUCCGAGAAUCGAACUCGGGACCUCUCGCACCCAAAGCGAGAAUCAUACCACUAGACCAAAUGCCCAGUGACAAAUUGAAACUUCCUUACAAAAUAUUAAUCUUGUUUCUAAAUUGAAGUCAUUACACACAGCUUCAUACUUCUUCGUUUCCAUUAAUAAGAAUUUGACUGAGAGAAUGGCGGCAACUUGAUUCCAUGCAAACAGACUGAUGAAUGAUCACGACAAAGGUGAAAUUGUUUCUGAGUAAAACUUGGAACAAAACUUGACACGUACAUGAACACAGAGAGUCAAAUUAACAAGCUAGCCAACAUCCAAAAUGGCCUACAAAUUCAUAACAAAACGACAUGGGGAUUUGCCACUUGCCAGAUUCCAAUCUCUAGACAAUGCACACAUCUUUUGGUUGAAAACUCGAGCUCUGUUAAAAUAUCUUUUUGUUAAAUAUCUCAAGCUCUGCCAAGGGAGUUGACGUUCAAUCGUUAUCUCAUUCCUAUAUACGUUUCACAUCUCAGGAGCUGAACUAAAGGAUUCAAGUAUAAGAAUAGGAUGUAAUUAUUAAGAUCGUUAACACGUACAAACAUUGCCGAUACUACGAUCAUCAAAUCUGAUUUCAUACUUAACAAAUUAAUUAUUUAUUUAACAAAUAAAUUAGUACCCUAAUUAAUAACUUGAUCAGUGCGGAUAUGAUUUAUGAAAGAUGUAUAUAUGCCACGGGGCAACAAAUUGACUACAAGGUAAUAACAUUAAAUGUUGGACUAGUAGCUUGUUACCAUUCAUUCAUUUUUUAUUUUAUUUUUAACAUUCAUAUAUAAUAUUUAAUAUGAUAUUAAUACAACAUGAUCCCAUGUUACAAGUUAAUUUCAGCAUCAUUGUUAUAGUUUUCAUGUUCAACCUUACAAGCAAACUCCUAAGUCUAUUCAUAUGAGGUGCAAGUGCAAGUAUGCAACUGGCAGAGCUUGAAAAACUUUUUGAGGUUCAUGGUCCUAUGAUAAAGUUAUCAAAAGUAUUUAACAUUAUGCUCUUUAUUUAAUUCUUCUAUAAACUUCUGUCAAAUAAUAGAACCUUAGGAGGGACCCAAUUGGCUAAAUCCCAUCACAGUCUCACAACUGGUCCUGAAGCUUUCUUUUACAUGAACUGCUUAGAAGCAUUUCAGAAUUUUCCUUACCUUUUCUUCUGAAUGAUUUAAGGAAUAAUUGAAAUUAAAAUUGAAUAAUUUUCGUUGCCUUUUUAUCCCAAAAUGGUAUAUUUUCUUGAAUCCAAAACCAGUUUGAAUAUUGAUAUUUGAUACAGCCCCUUGUAACUACAAAAUAAGAUUUUAGGGUCAAAAACUUUUAGUCAGUUAGGUUAGGGUUUUAUUUUUGACAUAUAUUUUAUUGUUUAAAAGGGAAAACAAAUGAUUAAAUAUAACCGUCAUGUUACCCACGGUUUGAUACAAGGAUGAGGAUUCUCUCUUGAUUUGAGCACACCUGAUCUUUUACAGAUUUUGUGUCACUUGUAUUUUAGUAUUAGUGUAUGAUUAGAAUUUAAUUACCUUUUCUUUUUAAUUUCUUAACCACCAAUCAUAUUAAUAAAAUUUACUCAAAAAAAAAAUCAGACUAGACUAGGAGAGGAUCUCAAUCUUUGAUACAACCCUCCUUUUUUUUUUUUAAUAUACUUCACACUCAGUAUAAAAAAAGACCAUAUUUCAUUUUAUUAUUUUAAAAUUGCAUUGACUAAACUGUAAAUAUUGAAUUUUAGAUUUGGUUAGCCAACCAAGAAGAUCGAAAAUCUAGCUAAUACUGUUAUCCGGCUGGCUUGUCAAAGAAAAAAAAAUUAAAUGAGUCAAUUAUUAUUUCAACAUAAUAUCGACAUUGCAAGCUUGACUUAACCAAUUUUAGCCUACAGUUGUAGUGAGAAUGCUUUGAAAUUCCUUUCUGGCUGCUUAGUAUGUCGACAUAUUAUCAACACUUUGCUAUUUUUCAAUCCUUGAGAUUCCCAUCCAAAUUUUCAACUAGCCAGUCCCUAAUUGCAGGCCACUUUUAAUUCUGUGGUCAAAUUAAUUAUUUCGUCUAAUAAUUACCAUAACUUUACAAAACGAAGAAACAACCCAUAUACAGAAGUUUGAUUCUACUCGUAACUUGAUUCUUACGGAAUCGUGUCCUCAUUAUUUCUUCAAAGCUACUUUUGAGAUGAUCAUCGAACGCUAAAGCGAAUUAAACCUUAAUUGGCACUUAGCGUUUUAUCCGAUCUCUUCUGUUUGUUCUAUUAAUUUCUUUUAUUUUGUUUUCUUAUUCUCUUUCAGUUUCAGUACUCGAUGGGGUCGGUGCAUGGGUCACAAUGAUUUUAUGAUGCUCUAGAGAUCAACAAUCACGCGCUUUCACAUAAACUCUGCACUAUAAACAAUUUCCUCUCAAAUAUUCUCAUCAUACAAAAAUAAAAAUCGUGAUAUUGUUUUCAGAUUUCAGAUUCUUUAUCAUGAUCACUUCUCAUCGUCUUUUCAUCACUUUCUUUUGCAUUCUUCUAAUACUACUUCCCAACGUAGUACGAGGAGAAUGCACGUGCGAUCCUGAAGACGAUGAUCGAGACAAGACUCAAGCCUUAAAAUAUAAACUCGCCGCCAUCGCUUCGAUACUCGUGGCCGGAGCCAUCGGAGUUUUACUUCCGGUCCUCGGAAAAACUAUCAAGGCACUAAGUCCGGAGAGAAAUAUUUUCUUCCUAAUCAAGGCCUUCGCCGCCGGAGUUAUAUUAUCGACGGGGUUCAUCCACGUGCUUCCCGACGCCUUCGAGAACUUAACGUCGCCCUGCCUCGAUGAACAUCCAUGGGGGGAUUUUCCGUUCACCGGAUUCGCUGCCAUGGUUGCUGCUAUCGGGACUCUGAUGAUUGAUGCUUUUGCAACUUCUUAUGCGACUUCUUAUUAUCGCAAGUCUCACUUUGGUGAAGCGGAGAAUAACGUAUCAGAUGAAGAGAAAGUUGGGGAGCAUGCAGGUCACGUGCAUGUUCAUACCCAUGCAACUGAUGGGCAUGCUCAUGGAUUUCUUGAAUAUUCCG